GACGAACGCUGGCGGCGUGCCUAAUACAUGCAAGUCGAACGCUCUCGACCUUCGGGUCACAUGAGAGAGUGGCGAACGGGUGCGUAACACGUGAGAAACCUGCCCUAGAGACGGGAAUAACUCGAGGAAACUCGUGCUAAUGCCCGAUGCCCUCUUUGGACCGCAUGGUCCGCUGAGGAAAGGCUCCGGCGCUCUAGGAGGGUCUCGCGGCCUAUCAGCUUGUUGGUGAGGUAACGGCUCACCAAGGCAUCGACGGGUAGCUGGUCUGAGAGGACGAUCAGCCACACUGGGACUGAGACACGGCCCAGACUCCUACGGGAGGCAGCAGUAGGGAAUCUUGCGCAAUGGGCGAAAGCCUGACGCAGCAACGCCGCGUGGGGGAUGAAGGCCUUCGGGUCGUAAACCCCCUUUCAGCAGGGACGAAAUGACGGUACCUGCAGAAGAAGGUCCGGCCAACUACGUG
rnacentral:rRNA from 1 species